CCUACGGGGGGCAGCAGUGGGGAAUAUUGCACAAUGGGGGAAACCCUGAUGCAGCGACGCCGCGUGAGUGAAGAAGUAAUUCGUUAUGUAAAGCUCUAUCAGCAGGGAAGAAAAUGACGGUACCUGAGUAAGAAACCCCGGCUAACUACGUGCCAGCAGCCGCGGUAAUAAGGAGGGGGCAAGCGUUAUCCGGAUUUACUGGGUGUAAUGGGAGCGUAGACGGGAGUGCAAGUCGGGAGUGAAAGGGGGGGGUCCAACCCCCGGACUGCUCUGGAAACUGGACGGCUGGAGUGCAGGAGAGGUAAGUGGAAUGCGUGGUGGAGCGGUGAAAUGCGUAGAUAUUAGGAGGAACCCCAGUGGCGAAGGCGGCUUACUGGACUGUAACUGACGUUGAGGCUCGAAAGCGUGGGGAGCAAACAGGAUUAGAUACCCGUGUAGUC
rnacentral:rRNA from 1 species